GGGGAUAACAGGCUGAUACCGCCCAAGAGUUCAUAUCGACGGCGGUGUUUGGCACCUCGAUGUCGGCUCAUCACAUCCUGGGGCUGAAGUAGGUCCCAAGGGUAUGGCUGUUCGCCAUUUAAAGUGGUACGCGAGCUGGGUUUAGAACGUCGUGAGACAGUUCGGUCCCUAUCUGCCGUGGGCGUUGGAAGAUUGAGAGGGGUUGCUCCUAGUACGAGAGGACCGGAGUGAACGCACCACUGGUGUACGGGUUGUGAUGCCAAUUGCAUUGCCCGGUAGCUAAGUGCGGAAGAGAUAACCGCUGAAAGCAUCUAAGCGGGAAACUUGCCUCGAGAUGAGUCUUCCCUGGGACCUUGAGUCCCCUAAAGGGCCGUUGAAGACGACGACGUAGAUAGGCCGGGUGUGUAAGCGCAGCGAUGCGUUGAGCUAACCGGUACUAAUGACCCGAGAGGCUUAACCUUACAACACCGAAGGUGUUUUAG
rnacentral:rRNA from 1 species